ensembl:misc_RNA
UUUUGGGGCGGUGUUUACAAGCUCUUCUUCUCUGCCUCCGCCCUGCUUUUGGCCCGGGCUUCGUGCCUCUUCAGUUUUCCAGCCAGACCCGGAAAAACGAAAACACAGCUCAGGGAGCCCCCACCAGCCGGUGCCUGUGCCAGCUCACCUCUGGCCAUGGCGCAGCUGGUGAUGCACACCGCAGCCAAGGCCAGCUCCACCGCCCUCCUUCCCUCUCCCCGCUUCUCGGGUACUGAGCCCUGCCUGCAGAGGAAGGGCCCCAGCUCCGCAGACUCCAGAGUGACUGGGUCCCUUCUCAUCAAAAAUGGUGAGACAAGAUCACCUUGUCUGCCGAGGAGCCCCAAGCAG